rnacentral:rRNA from 1 species
GAUGAACGCUGGCGGCGUGCCUAAUACAUGCAAGUCGAGCGAACAGACGAGGAGCUUGCUCCUCUGACGUUAGCGGCGGACGGGUGAGUAACACGUGGAUAACCUACCUAUAAGACUGGGAUAACUUCGGGAAACCGGAGCUAUUACCGGAUAAUAUAUUGAACCGCAUGGUUCAAUAGUGAAAGAGGGUUUUGCUGUCACUUUAAGAUGGAUCCGCGCCGCAUUAGCUAGUUGGUAAGGUAACGGCUUACCAAGGCAACGAUGCGUAGCCGACCUGAGAGGGUGAUCGGCCACACUGGAACUGAGACACGGUCCAGACUCCUACGGGAGGCAGCAGUAGGGAAUCUUCCGCAAUGGGCGAAAGCCUGACGGAGCAACGCCGCGUGAGUGAUGAAGGUCUUCGGAUCGUAAAACUCUGUUAUUAGGGAAGAACAAAUGUGUAAGUAACUAUGCACGUCUUGACGGUACCUAAUCAGAAAGCCACGGCUAACUACGUG